GACGAACGCUGGCGGCGUGCCUAACACAUGCAAGUCGAACGGGGUUAAUUUCUUCGGAGAUUAACUUAGUGGCGAACGGGUGAGUAACGCGUGAGAAACCUGCCUUUCAGUGAGGGACAACAGUUGGAAACGACUGCUAAUACCGCAUAACAUACGGAUAUCGCAUGGUAACCGUAUCAAAGGAGCAAUCCGCUGUAAGAUGGACUCGCGUCCAAUUAGAUAGUUGGUGAGGUAACGGCCCACCAAGGCGACGAUCAGUAGCCGGCCUGAGAGGGUGACCGGCCACAUUGGGACUGAGACACGGCCCAAACUCCUACGGGAGGCAGCAGUGGGGAAUAUUGCACAAUGGGGGAAACCCUGAUGCAGCAACGCCGCGUGAGUGAAGAAGUAUUUCGGUAUGUAAAGCUCUAUCAGCAGGAAAGAAAAUGACGGUACCUGACUAAGAAGCCCCGGCUAACUACGUGCCAGCAGCCGCGGU
rnacentral:rRNA from 1 species